AGAAUCAACGCUGGCGGCGUGCUUAACACAUGCAAGUCGAACGAGAAAGUGGAGCAAUCCAUGAGUAAAGUGGCGCACGGGUGAGUAACACGUGACUAACCUACCCUCGAGUGGGGAAUAACUUCGGGAAACCGAGGCUAAUACCGCAUAAAACCUAAGGGUCAAAGGAGCAAUCCGUUUGAGGAGGGGGUCGCGGCAGAUUAGUUAGUUGGCGGGGUAAUGGCCCACCAAGACGAUGAUCUGUAUCCGGCCUGAGAGGGCGCACGGACACACUGGAACUGAAACACGGUCCAGACUCCUACGGGAGGCAGCAGUGGGGAAUUUGCGCAAUGGGGGAAACCCUGACGCAGCAACGCCGCGUGGAGGAUGAAAUCCCUUGGGAUGUAAACUCCUUUCGAUCGGGAAGAUAAUGACGGUACCGGAAGAAGAAGCCCCGGCUAACUUCGUGCCAGCAGCCGC
rnacentral:rRNA from 1 species